rnacentral:rRNA from 1 species
AAUGAACGCUGGCGGCGCGCCUAAUACAUGCAAGUCGAGCGAGAAGACGUAGCAAUACGUUUGUAAAGCGGCGAACGGGUGAGGAAUACAUGGGUAACCUACCCUAGAGUGGGGAAUAACUAGCCGAAAGGUUAGCUAAUACCGCGUACGCUCCUUGGACUUCGGUUCAGGGAGGAAAGCGAUGCCGAGGGUAUCGCGCUCUUGGAUGGGCUCAUGUCCUAUCAGCUUNGGUGAGGUAACGGCUCACCAAGGCUUCGACGGGUAGCUGGUCUGAGAGGACGAUCAGCCACACUGGCACUGCGAC